UACGGAGGGAGCUAGCGUUAUUCGGAAUUACUGGGCGUAAAGCGCACGUAGGCGGCUUUGUAAGUUAGAGGUGAAAGCCCGGGGCUCAACCCCGGAAUUGCCUUUAAGACUGCAUCGCUUGAAUCCGGGAGAGGUGAGUGGAAUUCCAGGUGUAGCGGUGAAAUGCGUAGAUAUCUGGAGGAACACCGGUGGCGAAGGCGGCAUCCUGGACCAACACUGACACUGAGGAGCGAAAGCCAGGGGAGCAAACGGG
rnacentral:rRNA from 1 species